GGUUUUGAUGCAUUGGACAAUAGCCUAC
rnacentral:sRNA from 1 species